CUUAAAGGGAAACGACUUUGGACUCACGUACGCAUAGGAGAAUGAAACUUCUGUACAUUUAAAUUUGAAUAAUUCUUCAGGAUUUAAAAUUAAUUGGCUUGGGCUUGGUUGUACCAGAUUAGGAUCUCGCCACCUCUGCGUUCCCUGAGUCACUGGCGAAGAGGAACCGUUCCUUGAACGUUCUGGAAGAGCACAGAAUGGCUUCUUUAAUCAGUCCCGCCGCGGUUGCAAUAGCCAGCAAAAAGGUAAACGGUUGCCUGAAAUCCGCAUGCCAGCUCCACCACCCCGCCGGAUGUCAGGAACUUCAACUUCCCAUAAAAAGAUGGAUUUCUGGAUUCUUUUGGAAGAUCAGAAGACGUGGCACUGCUGGGUCCACAACUCUGCAUGACCAUCAGCUGGCUACCGUUGUUGACUUCUGUUCUUUGACUGGGUUCCUUCACAGUUGCCACCAUUCCCUAUAGAUGACCUCAGGUUGGCUUUCUUUGUUUAUUUACCAGCCUGGGGCAUGGGGUAGGCCCCCAGGAUUAGGAGCAAAUAUUUGGUAUGUGUUUCUAUCACUUUUGGAUGUGAAGUAGUUAAAAAAUUUAAAUGUGAGCCUAAUGCUUGUUCCCAGUUCCACAGGAAGAGAAGAAAAGAGUCUAAGUAUGGGGUUUGGAGUGAAUCUGUGGGACAGACAUGCCUACUUCUUCAGUUUCUCCAGUGGGACUCAGAGUGGGAUUGGAGCACUUAAUAACCCUAAUGAUAUCAGGUGUGCUUCGUACCCAGGUGUAGAUGGAGUUGGAAAAAAAACAAACAUUGUGCCAAUGGUUUCCAUUGUUGGAACAACUAAUCCUCUCAACCCAGUUCGCCAGCACCAGAUUCUGGCCUUUGGCAGAUAACGCCAUGCUACCCCCAAGUGUGGAAAGAGCCCAGUUGUGAUUUGGACCUUUUAUGUGAAUGCUUCAUUGUAACUAAGCCAGGAGAAGCAGUUGAACCAACUGUAUAAGUGAUACCACCUGACAAGAGAUUUCUCAUCAAGGAGUUUUGCAUGGAUGAUGAGGCAGGUUGCGGAAUAUUUCUUUCACCACAGUUUGGGAAAAGUCCUUUCGCAAACAGCUCCAGCACUGAUGCAAUUCUUUUCAGAGCAUUGUCUAGUAAGACUUUUAAAGAUUGUGUGAUGAGAAGAUAGAAAGCCAUGGGAAGAGGUCACCAGCCUGUCAAUUCCAGGAACUUCCCCGCAGCAGUGGUCACUGCCUGUGUUACCGAAGACGGCAAAAACACGAGCAGUCCUGCAUCUGGCCAAUUAUGCAAUUCUCCAUCACGCUGGGAGAUUCCUUCCCUACCCCAGCUGGUGAACAGUUAUGCCCUGGAGCCUGGGGACGGACAUACCUUGUAACUUUUUAACCUAGUUAGUGUAACUGCCAAUAUUAUUCCUAUUCAUAUAAAUGUCUAAUCCUUUCUUAAAUCUCGCUAGACUAUUUGCCUCAAUAAUAUCCCACGGCAACGAAUUCCACAGGUACAUUAUACGCUGCUUUAAAAAGUACUUCCUUUAUUCGUUUUAGAUUUGUUCCCUUUUAACGUCACAAGAUGGGCCUUGCUCUUGCAUUAAGUGGCACAGGAUACAGGCAUUUUAAAUUGAGCUUUACUUCUUCCAGGCACUUUCUUUGCCAUUAUUAAAGCACCAUCUUCUUCAUAUGUUUUCUAUUUUGGCACAUAUAACCGAGAUUAAAUAAGAUGAUUUAAAUAAAUAGUCUCAUACUCUUUUGGACAGAUAAUAGACAUUGGAAAAUAAUUCUCCUACUAUUCGAUGUCAUUCAGUGAAUAAAUAUUUAUUGAGCACCUACUAUGUGCAGGAACUUUUCUAGGUAUUGGAAAGACAGCCUUGAGUAAGACAAGGUCCUUGCUCGGAAGGACCUAAUUUUCUAGAGAGGAAAGACAAGCAGUAAACAAGUGAACAAAUAUAUGAACUACAUGGUUUCAGAUAAAACAGUGACUGGGAAGGUGGUGGCAGGAGCCACUUUAGAUUGCGUGGUCCAGGAGUGGCACUCUGAAAGGGGGAAAGUCAAGACUGACCAUCAAGGAGUCAUCUAUGUGAAGUUUCCUUGAAGACGAAAUCCAACUCCUUGAUCAGUGUCCAUCGUUAUUUGUUCAAAGAAUGAAUGAAUGAAUAAAUCAUGGUUCAGAAGGGAAAACUUAGUUGCAGAAGACAUCCAUCCAUAGAUCAAGGACUAACAUUUCUCAAAUCCUUCUGUUCUACAACUCUAGAGAUUAUUGGAGUGAAAAACCAAAACCAAACCAAAACAACAACAACAAAAACAGGGUUUAGUUAGUUGGACACAGGUUUCAAGUUCUGCUGAUGCUCCCAACUACCCAUCCAAAUGACACUUGGCUGAGUCAUCUAAUCUCUCUCAUCCAAAGUCUUUUCAUUCAAAAAAAU